rnacentral:rRNA from 1 species
GAUGAACGCUGGCGGCGUGCCUAAUACAUGCAAGUCGAGCGAACAGACGAGGAGCUUGCUCCUCUGACGUUAGCGGCGGACGGGUGAGUAACACGUGGAUAACCUACCUAUAAGACUGGGAUAACUUCGGGAAACCGGAGCUAAUACCGGAUAAUAUAUUGAACCGCAUGGUUCAAUAGUGAAAGACGGUUUUGCUGUCACUUAUAGAUGGAUCCGCGCCGCAUUAGCUAGUUGGUAAGGUAACGGCUUACCAAGGCAACGAUGCGUAGCCGACCUGAGAGGGUGAUCGGCCAAACGGGAAAUGAGACACGUUCCAGACUCCUACGGGAGGCAGCAGGAGGGAAUCUUCCGCAAUGGGCGAAGGCCUGACGGAGCAACGCCGCGUGAGUGAUGAAGGUCUUCGAUUCGUAAAACUCUGUUAUUAGGGAAGAACAAAUGUGUAAGUAACUAUGCGCGUCUUGACGGUACCUAAUCAGAAAGCCACGGCUAACUACGU